ensembl:lncRNA
CUCUGGCUCUAGGGUCGUUGCUGCCAGAGCGAUGGUAGCUGAGACGCAGCGGAGCGGAGGUGGAGUGCCUGGAUUAAAACAGGACAUAUUAGCAGCAUUUAACCUUCAGUUACUCUUUAUGUAGUUAGAUAGGAGUCAUGUUUCUUUUUAGCUGAAAAACCUUACACCCAGAGAGAGACAGCCAGGUUCAUAAUGGAUAUAAGGAAGUUUUUUCAAAAACAGGAGCCACAUUCAGUCCAAAGAGGGAGAGAGGAAAGAGGGGAACAUGAGGAGAAAGUACAAGGUCAGGAAGAACCAGUCCAGCAUGCUGAAGUCUCCUCUUCACUGCUGAUGUUGAGACUGAUGUUCUGUUUGAAGAAACUGCCAAGCUGAAGACCUGUGUGACGCCCGUGUCUCAGAUUGAAGACUAACAUACUUGUCCUCUCGCUCAGUUUUUCAUCAGAGCCUCCCAUUUUGCACUGUCCUUUGAAGGGAGCAGGACACACCUGCUUAUAUGGAAAAAUCAAAUUUCUGACAAUUUCAGUGAGAAAUAAAUGCCAGUUUUCAUUUAUUACCAUAACUAGGUGAAUGGAUAGCAACAGUCAGUUAGCAGUUUUACAUGAUAAAGUUGCAUUAGUGAACACAAUGUAGAACACAGCAGACAUGGUUGAUGAGAAUGUGGUUCUGCAGAACUACGUAGGUAUUUCAUAAUUAUUGGAUUUAUUGGUUAAUAAAUCCAAUAAUUAUUUUUAUAUAUGGAGUAUUUCUGAUUAAUGUUCUGUUUUUUUGAAUGAAAAUCAAAAUCAAAAACACCAACCAACCUGUACUGGCUGGUAUUCUAUUUUUUCUUUUUAUAUCAGUAAUAGUUUAUUUCUAUUUUUAAUAACUAUGAACUAUAUUUUCAUGUAAUUAUAAAGCCAGGUCUGUCAGUGGACAAGUAAACCUGCCUGAAACUCUUUCUGACACCUCUCCAAGCAUUUCGGUCCAUGUUCUGGUUUAAUUCGUUGGUUGCUCUGCCUCUUUCUUUGAUCCGGAAAAGCAAAGUGCAUGCUGACAUUUGGAUACUGUGCAGACAACACAACAAGGAUUCCAUCUAUCAAGCAGAAGAACACUCGCUGGCCUAAAACAGAACUUUUUUAUGUGAUGCAGCUCUGCAGGUAUUUGUUAGAGCAUCAGAUCUCAGCCCACCACGGAGCCUGCGCCCUGUGCCAAACCAAACCUCCUGUUUUAAAAAAUAAUUAGUUGUAUUUCCAUUCAUUUAUCCUCUUAUCCUCUUUCUGACACUACUGUGACAUGUCCCCUCCAAGCACGACUUCAAGUGAUCAAUUCAGCUGGAGAUGGUGGAAAUAUGUGGC